ACCGACUUACGUUGAAAAGUGAGCGGAUGAACUGAGGGUAGCGGAGAAAUUCCAAUCGAACCUGGAGAUAGCUGGUUCUCUCCGAAAUAGCUUUAGGGCUAGCCUCAAGUGAUGAUUAUUGGAGGUAGAGCACUGUUUGGACGAGGGGCCCCUCUCGGGUUACCGAAUUCAGACAAACUCCGAAUGCCAAUUAAUUUAACUUGGGAGUCAGAACAUGGGUGAUAAGGUCCGUGUUCGAAAGGGAAACAGCCCAGACCACCAGCUAAGGUCCCAAAAUAUAUGUUAAGUGGAAAAGGAUGUGGCGUUGCCCAGACAACUAGGAUGUUGGCUUAGAAGCAGCCAUCAUUUAAAGAGUGCGUAAUAGCUCACUAGUCGAGUGACACUGCGCCGAAAAUGUACCGGGGCUAAACAUAUUACCGAAGCUGUGGAUUGUCCUUUGGACAAUGGUAGGAGAGCGUUCUAAGGGCGUUGAAGCAUGAUCGUAAGGACAUGUGGAGCGCUUAGAAGUGAGAAUGCCGGUGUGAGUAGCGAAAGACGGGUGAGAAUCCCGUCCACCGAUUGACUAAGGUUUCCAGAGGAAGGCUCGUCCGCUCUGGGUUAGUCGGGUCCUAAGCUGAGGCCGACAGGCGUAGGCGAUGGAUAACAGGUUGAUAUUCCUGUACCACCUAUAAUCGUUUUAAUCGAUGGGGGGACGCAGUAGGAUAGGCGAAGCGUGCGAUUGGAUUGCACGUCUAAGCAGUAAGGCUGAGUAUUAGGCAAAUCCGGUACUCAUUAAGGCUGAGCUGUGAUGGGGAGAAGACAUUGUGUCUUCGAGUCGUUGAUUUCACACUGCCGAGAAAAGCCUCUAGAUAGAAAAUAGGUGCCCGUACCGCAAACCGACACAGGUAGUCAAGAUGAGAAUUCUAAGGUGAGCGAGCGAACUCUCGUUAAGGAACUCGGCAAAAUGACCCCGUAACUUCGGGAGAAGGGGUGCUCUUUAGGGUUAACGCCCAGAAGAGCCGCAGUGAAUAGGCCCAAGCGACUGUUUAUCAAAAACACAGGUCUCUGCUAAACCGUAAGGUGAUGUAUAGGGGCUGACGCCUGCCCGGUGCUGGAAGGUUAAGAGGAGUGGUUAGCUUCUGCGAAGCUACGAAUCGAAGCCCCAGUAAACGGCGGCCGUAACUAUAACGGUCCUAAGGUAGCGAAAUUCCUUGUCGGGUAAGUUCCGACCCGCACGAAAGGCGUAACGAUUUGGGCACUGUCUCAACGAGAGACUCGGUGAAAUCAUAGUACCUGUGAAGAUGCAGGUUACCCGCGACAGGACGGAAAGACCCCGUGGAGCUUUACUGUAGCCUGAUAUUGAAAUUCGGCACAGCUUGUACAGGAUAGGUAGGAGCCUUUGAAACGUGAGCGCUAGCUUACGUGGAGGCGCUGGUGGGAUACUACCCUAGCUGUGUUGGCUUUCUAACCCGCACCACUUAUCGUGGUGGGAGACAGUGUCAGGCGGGCAGUUUGACUGGGGCGGUCGCCUCCUAAAAGGUAACGGAGGCGCUCAAAGGUUCCCUCAGAAUGGUUGGAAAUCAUUCAUAGAGUGUAAAGGCAUAAGGGAGCUUGACUGCGAGACCUACAAGUCGAGCAGGGUCGAAAGACGGACUUAGUGAUCCGGUGGUUCCGCAUGGAAGGGCCAUCGCUCAACGGAUAAAAGCUACCCCGGGGAUAACAGGCUUAUCUCCCCCAAGAGUUCACAUCGACGGGGAGGUUUGGCACCUCGAUGUCGGCUCAUCGCAUCCUGGGGCUGUAGUCGGUCCCAAGGGUUGGGCUGUUCGCCCAUUAAAGCGGUACGCGAGCUGGGUUCAGAACGUCGUGAGACAGUUCGGUCCCUAUCCGUCGUGGGCGUAGGAAAUUUGAGAGGAGCUGUCCUUAGUACGAGAGGACCGGGAUGGACAUACCUCUGGUGUACCAGUUGUCGUGCCAACGGCAUAGCUGGGUAGCUAUGUGUGGACGGGAUAAGUGCUGAAAG
rnacentral:rRNA from 1 species